UCAAAUACAGGUCUUGGAACUGCAGCAUUGAAACUCUAGAGAUAAACAGUCUAGCAAAGAGAAGAAGAAAUUAGCAGAGCAAGCAACGGCAAAGCCUUAGAAUCCGAUGUUCCCAGGGGCUUCCAAAUAAACAGUUUACGAGUGGUCACAAUCUUUGUUACCAUAGCAGCACAGUUGGACAUAUCAUACGCCAGAGAAGCAGCACAGCCAGGCCACAGCCAACACUGCCUAGAGCUGAUGAUGGUGGGAAUGCUGGUUCUUCGUCUGUUCCGCCUCCACUAAGGCGCCCAUCACAGGGCAGCGUUACUGUGGCUACAAGGCCACCCAAGAGGCCCCGUGUUCAUGCUCCUGCACCAGCAUCACCACCCCAAAGGCGCAUCUCUGCAGUGUCUGCCGUGCCACCACUCGCUCAUUUGGCCAGCCCCCAAAGUGAGGAUCCACAAUCCCCACAGU